rnacentral:lncRNA from 1 species
CUAAGCCUUUGAAUCCCUUCUUCUACACUAACCAUGGGCGGCCAGGCAUGUCCAGUUAUCCCAUGGUGGGCCAUGUUUUGGCCCAUGUUUCAGCCAAGCAGCCAACCAACCAAUUAGAGCCCUUUCUAAAUGCGGAAUCUCUGCUUAGUGAGCCCGUAUCAAUAAACUUGGCCUGAUCUAACUCUGUGUUCCUCCUACCAUUCUCCCAGGCCCUCAAUAUGCAUUCCCACGGUCCUGGGAUUUCUAUGUAAACUGGAAAACUCACGUUCUCUUUGACACCGUGAGGCUGGGAGUUCCACAUGUGCUAUAAUCCAGCCACUGGAAGGGCGAGAUUCUGGGUUUGAUUUUCAGUAGUCUCAGACCCGCAGCUAAAGGAGGUAAGAGUCUCUCUUGGGACAGUCAUAACUUUCAGAUUAUUCAUGUGACACUUCAGCUGGGAAUCUGAAUCCUGAGCUCACUCCCAUGAUACUUUUUCUGAGAUGGAGUCUCACUCUGUAGCCCAG